rnacentral:rRNA from 1 species
AUACGUAGGGGGCGAGCGUUGUCCGGAAUGAUUGGGCGUAAAGGGCGCGUAGGCGGCGCGGUAAGUCUGGAGUGAAAGUCCUGCUUUCAAGGUGGGAAUUGCUUUGGAUACUGCCGCGCUUGAGUGCAGGAGAGGUUAUCGGAAUUCCCGGUGUAGCGGUGAAAUGCGUAGAGAUCGGGAGGAACACCAGUGGCGAAGGCGGGUAACUGGACUGCAACUGACGCUGAGGCGCGAAAGUGUGGGGAGCAAACAGGAUUAGAUACCCUGGUAGUCCACACUGUAAACGAUGAAUGCUAGGUGUAAGAGGUAUCGACCCCUUUUGUGCCGGAGUCAACACAAUAAGCAUUCCGCCUGGGGAGUACGGCCGCGAGGUUGAAACUCAAAUGAAUUGACGGGG